rnacentral:rRNA from 1 species
UACAGAGGUCUCAAGCGUUGUUCGGAUUCAUUGGGCGUAAAGGGUGCGUAGGCGGCCCGGUAAGUCCGCUGUGAAAGUCGGGGGGCUCAACCCUCGAAUGCCGGUGGAUACUGGUCGGGCUAGAGUGCGGGAGAGGCGAGUGGAAUUCCUGGUGUAGCGGUGAAAUGCGCAGAUAUCAGGAGGAACACCAAUGCGAAGGCAGCUCGCUGGAACGUAACUGACGCUGAGACGCGAAAGCGUGGGGAGCAAACA